rnacentral:rRNA from 1 species
GUCGAGCGGAUGAAGAGAGCUUGCUCUCUGAUUCAGCGGCGGACGGGUGAGUAAUGCCUAGGAAUCUGCCUGGUAGUGGGGGACAACGUCUCGAAAGGGACGCUAAUACCGCAUACGUCCUACGGGAGAAAGCAGGGGACCUUCGGGCCUUGCGCUAUCAGAUGAGCCUAGGUCGGGUUAGCUAGUUGGUGAGGUAAUGGCUCACCAAGGCGACGAUCCGUAACUGGUCUGAGAGGAUGAUCAGUCACACUGGAACUGAGACACGGUCCAGACUCCUACGGGAGGCAGCAGUGGGGAAUAUUGGACAAUGGGCGAAAGCCUGAUCCAGCCAUGCCGCGUGUGUGAAGAAGGUCUUCGGAUUGUAAAGCACUUUAAGUUGGGAGGAAGGGCAGUAAGCGAAUACCUUGCUGUUUUGACGUUACCGACAGAAUAAGCACCGGCUAACUCUGUGCCAGCAGCCGCGGUAAUACAGAGGGUGCAAGCGUUAAUCGGAAUUACUGGGCGUAAAGCGCGCGUAGGUGGUUUGUUAAGUUGAAUGUGAAAUCCCCGGGCUCAACCUGGGAACUGCAUCCAAAACUGGCAUGCUAGAGUAGGGCAGAGGGUGGUGGAAUUUCCUGUGUAGCGGUGAAAUGCGUAGAUAUAGGAAGGAACACCAGUGGCGAAGGCGACCACCUGG